UACGUAGGGUGCAAGCGUUGUCCGGAAUUAUUGGGCGUAAAGAGCUCGUAGGCGGUUUGUUGCGUCGGCUGUGAAAUCCCGAGGCUCAACCUCGGGUCUGCAGUCGAUACGAGCAAACUAGAGUGUUGCAGGGGGAGACUGGAAUUCCUGGUGUAGCGGUGGAAAUGCGCAGAUAUCAGGAGGAACACCGGUGGCGAAGGCGGUUCUCUGGGCAUUACCUGACGCUGAGGAGCGAAAGUGUGGGGGAGCGAACAGG
rnacentral:rRNA from 1 species